AGGAUAAACGCUGGCGGCGUGCCUAACACAUGCAAGUCGAACGUCUCUUCUUUCGGGAAGAGGAGUGGCGGACGGGUGAGGAACACGUGGGAACCUGCCCUCCAGUGAGGAAUACCGGCGAGAAAUCGCCGACAAGACCGCAUAGCCCUCUCUGGUGAGAGCCAGAGAAGGAAAGCUUCGCAAGAGGCGCUGGAGGAGGGGCCUGCGUCCGAUUAGCUAGUUGGUGGGGUGAUGGCCUACCAAGGCGACGACGGGUAGCC
rnacentral:rRNA from 1 species